rnacentral:misc_RNA from 1 species
GAUGAAGAACGUAGCGAAAUGCGAUAAGUAAUGUGAAUUGCAGUAUUCAGUGAAUCAUCGAAUCUUUGAACGCACAUUGCGCCCGCCAGUAUUCUGGCGGGCAUGCCUGUUCGAGCGUCAUUACAACCCUCAAGCCCCCCGGCUUGGUGUUGGGGACCGGCCACCGGUGCCCUGCUGCUUCCGCGGCAGGCGCGCCCGGCCGCCCCCGAAAUGAAUUGGCGGCCCCGUCGCGGCCUCCCUCUGCGUAGUAGCACACAUCUCGCAGCUGGAGCGCGGCGCGGCCACUGCCGUAAAACGCACCAACUUUUUUUUACAGUUGACCUCGAAUCAGGUAGGAAUACCCGCUGAACUUAAGCAUAUCAAUAAGCGGAGGA